rnacentral:rRNA from 1 species
AGGACGAACGCUGGCGGCGUGCUUAACACAUGCAAGUCGAGCGGAAAGGCCCUUUCGGGGGUACUCGAGCGGCGAACGGGUGAGUAACACGUGAGUAAUCUGCCCUUCACUCUGGGAUAGCCCUCCGAAAGGGGGAUUAAUACCGGAUACGACCUUGGCACGCAUGUGCUUGGGGUGGAAACGUUUUUGGGGUGGGGAUGUGCUCGCGGCCUAUCAGCUUGUUGGUGGGUAAUGGCCUACCAAGGCUUCGACGGUAGCCGGCCUGAGAGGGUGACCGGCCACACGUGGGACUGAGACACGGCCCAGACCUCCGUACGGGAGGCAGCAGUGGGGAAUAGUGGACAAGUGGGCGGAAGCCGUGAUCCAGACACGCCGCGUGGAGGAUGACGGGCCUUCGGGUUACGUAACCUCGUUCGACGCGUCCGGCGAACG